GUAGUCCACGCCCUAAACGAUGAUAACUCGAUGUUGGCGAUACACUGUCAGCGUCCAAGCGAAAGCAUUAAGUUAUCCACCUGGGGAGUACGACCGCAAGGUUGAAACUCAAAGGAAUUGACGGGGGCCCGCACAAGCGGAGGAGCAUGUGGUUUAAUUCGAUGAUACGCGAGGAACCUUACCAGGGCUUGAAAGUUAGUGAAUGUCGUAGAAAUAUGACAGCAAGCAAUUGCACGAAACUAGGUGCUGCAUGGCUGUCGUCAGCUCGUGCCGUGAGGUGUUAGGUUAAGUCCUGUAACGAGCGCAACCCCUAUUAUUAGUUGCCAGCGGGUAAUGCCGGGGACUCUAAUAAGACUGCCCGCGCAAGCGGUGA
rnacentral:rRNA from 1 species